GUGCUUGUUUUGAUAGCACAUAAACUAAAAUCAGAAUGAUACAGAGAUUAGCAUGGCCUCUGUGCAAGGAUGAUACAAAAAUUCAUGAAGAAUUCCAUAUUAAA
rnacentral:snRNA from 1 species